CACACUUGUUUUCGAUUCCGCUUUAGUAAAUACAACUGAUAAAACGCUUAAGGUAAAUUGGCAAAGUGUUUUAACGUGAAGUCAACGCUGACAUCAGUCUCACAGGUGGGACUGCUGGUUAAGCAAAUGUUAACCACAUUAGAUUAGCGAGCUUGAUUUGAAAACUCUGAAUACACGAAAUCAACUGUGCAACAUAAAGAGAGAGCCGUGCAGAAUUGACUACGAAGAAUGGAGAUGUGUGCAGACCUCGGUGUGCAGGGACGAUCUCGCCGGGCUGGGGAAGCUCUUCGUCUCCGGACGAUGACAGACAGCGUCGCACAAACAAUUCCGGGGAAUCUGUGGCUCCUCUCCCCACAGCUCUUCGCUAUGGGAAGGGGCUGCAGACGAGGCCCAUCUUCACACGGACAGUCUGCCACAGCCACGCGAUCCACCGCACACACUUAACGACUCUGCUCCUAUGGUCCUGUACCACAAGCCGGAUCACUAUCAUGCAGCUUCGUGCACCGGAUUUCACGAGAAUCACA